rnacentral:lncRNA from 1 species
UGGACUGGAAACUGAGCGUCAAGCUCCUUGUCCUCUGCCCUAAAAGACCAGGAUUCUAUGGGCCUUGCUGGGCUCUUGCCUUCAAAAACCCAGGCCUCCUAAUUCUCCCCAGAAACAGCUGCAUUGGAGACCCCAAGUCUCGGGAGCACACCCCUGCUUCCUGCCCUGUGACUGGUCAGUCUUUAACCUGUGCCUUGGCGGGCGCUGGCUUUGCGGUGCUUCCUCUGCAGGGGGUCAUACACAGGGCAGAAACCAGAUGACAUUUUAAUCUGCAACUCAAGUGCCUUGUCCUGGGAAGGCUCCCGGUUCUUGGCACGGGAUUCUGUGUCUCUGGGCGCCCAGCAGCAGCUUGAGAGUGGGCUCCGCUCCUCCUUCACGUUAACUGGCUCAGCUUCUCUUGACUUUUAAUAAUACCCUGCCAACUGGCUGCCUUCUGCUUUGUCUGUGUACCGACGCUGGAGCCACAGUUCCUCUGAGCCAGGCUUCUUGGUGCGUCGUGUGGACUGACCCUUUUCAGGAAAGUGGUUGCUGGGUCUGUGGCUACAAA